UGGGGGAUAUUGCGCAAUGGAGGAAACUCUGACGCAGCAAUGCCGCGUGAAGGACGAAGGUCUUCGGAUUGUAAACUUCUUUUAUCAGGGACGAAAAAAGACGGUACCUGAAGAAUAAGCUCCGGCUAACUACGUGCCAGCAGCCGCGGUAAUACGUAGGGAGCAAGCGUUGUCCGGAUUUACUGGGUGUAAAGGGUGCGUAGGCGGCAGGGCAAGUCAGCUGUGAAAUGUAUGGGCUCAACCCAUAGACUGCAGUUGAAACUGUUCUGCUUGAGUGAAGUAGAGGUAGGCGGAAUUCCCGGUGUAGCGGUGAAAUGCGUAGAGAUCGGGAGGAACACCAGUGGCGAAGGCGGCCUACUGGGCUUUAACUGACGCUGAGGCACGAAAGCAUGGGUAGCAA
rnacentral:rRNA from 1 species